rnacentral:misc_RNA from 1 species
GGCCAUUGGGCAUCCAUUGGGUGCAACAGGUGCCCGUUGUGUUGCUACUCUGUUGCACGAGAUGAAGCGUCGUGGCAAAGACUGUCGUUUUGGAGUUAUUUCAAUGUGCAUAGGGACGGGAAUGGGCGCAGCGGCAGUUUUCGAGAGGGGCGAUGUGGCUGACGAGUUAUGCAAUGCUCGGAAGGUUGAUAACCACAAUCUACUGUCCAAGGAUGUUUUAUAGAGAAGAUUGCCAUGUGCUGCUAUACAGCUAAAUAAUUUUAUUUCUUCCAAUAAGAUAGUAAUAAAUAAGUUUUUAUUGUUCUUUGAGAACUCGAUCAUAUGUUUGUUAAUUUAUCUUAAUGAUGGAGGGACAUAAAUGUGUGAUAUGCACAAACAUUUUAGCUUUGUUACUGGGCCAUUGGUCUCUUUAAAGUUGAGAAAAU